rnacentral:tRNA from 1 species
GCCCUAGUAGCUCAGCUGGAUAGAGCAAUCCCCUCCUAAGGGAUAGGUCGGACGUUCGAAUCGUCUCUGGGGCGCCA